rnacentral:tRNA from 1 species
GCCCACAUAAUUUAAAAUAAAACCCUAGGCUGUGAUUCUAGUAAUGAAAGUUAAACCCUUUCUGUGUGCC